rnacentral:rRNA from 1 species
ACGGGUGAGUAACGCGUGAGAAUCUAGCUUUAGGUUCGGGACAACCAUUGGAAACGGUGGCUAAUACCGGAUGUGCCGAAAGGUAAAAGGCUUGCUGCCUAAAGAUGAGCUCGCGUCUGAUUAGCUAGUUGGUGGGGUAAGAGCCCACCAAGGCGACGAUCAGUAGCUGGUCUGAGAGGAUGAUCAGCCACACUGGGACUGAGACACGGCCCAGACUCCUACGGGAGGCAGCAGUGGGGAAUUUUCCGCAAUGGGCGAAAGCCUGACGGAGCAAUACCGCGUGAGGGAGGAAGGCUCUUGGGUUGUAAACCUCUUUUCUCAAGGAAUAAGUUCUGAAGGUACUUGAGGAAUAAGCAUCGGCUAACUCCGUGCCAGCAGCCGCGGUAAUACGGAGGAUGCAAGCGUUAUCCGGAAUGAUUGGGCGUAAAGCGUCCGCAGGUGGUGAUGUAAGUCUGCUGUCAAAGAAUCAGGCUUAACCUGAUAGAGGCAGUGGAAACUACAUGACUAGAGUGCGUUCGGGGCAGAAGGAAUUCCUGGUGU